rnacentral:rRNA from 1 species
CAUUCAUGUUUUUAAGUUUGUGAAAGGGAUUUCUGGAGGUAACGAUCAUUCAAUUUAUUGUUUGUGAGUUCCUUUGGUUGUUUCUGAACAACUUAUAUUUUUUGCGAUAACUUCCUUCUCUUCGUGAGAUUGUAAUUCUUUUGUACUUGCAUUUUUUUGCUUGAACUUUCUAUACGUAGGUUGGUGAUUUUUUGACUUAGUAACUUGUGUUUUUCACUCGUGAACUCUUGACUUUAUUUCAGGUGACCUUUAAUGUGAGGUGUUUUUCUAUCUUCUUUCGAGUUGACGGAUUAACAUGUACACUCGGACUGAUUGUGACGACAAUGAACUAUGCUUGUACAAUUCUAUAUAAUACAUAACAACUCUAGAGAACAAACAAUUUUUGACAUACAACCCGUGGCGGGGGAUGUCUCGGCUUCCACAUCGAUGAAGAACGUAGCAAAAUGCGAUAUGUAAUGCGAUUUGCANAACUCGUGAGUCAUCGAAUUUUUGAACGCAAGUUGCGCUCGCGGGAAAUCCUGCGAGCACGUCUGUUUGAGUGUCCGUACAAAAACUAAAACACUUGUUUUUUAUCUUUCCUUUUGUCGACUUUGUUGCUUGCAAUGAUUUUGACAGUGUUGAGUGUUUCCGUUCACAGUGCAUUUAACAUGUACACAGGAUGGUCACUUUAAGUUGAGGGGUACUGUUCCUCGUGAACUUUACCAAUGGCAUGGUUUUUUAAACCUUACUACACCGUUCCCCUGCUACUUUUCAAGUAGUGAGGAGCUGCUCACUUGCGCAUAACUUCUUUUUUCACUUAGAAUUUUUGUCUAGGUACUGUUGUUUUUCUGCUGAGGUGAGAUUGUUGUGAAGUGAUGAUUAUCUCUUUGAGCAACUAUUCAAUAUCUUCUGAAGGACUGCUUUACUGUUUGAACACAAUUUGGACUUGUGAUUUUAGUUGUUGCUUGUGUUUUACUUCUCCAGUGCUAUUCUAUAGUGCUGUGGUAAGGCGCGUAGUAAAACAGUGC